GCUGNAAANUUAGCAUAUCAAUAAGCGGAGGAAAAGAAACCAACNGGGAUUGCCCUCAGUAAACGGGCGAGUGAAGCGGCAAGAGCUCAAAUUUUGAAAUCUGGCCCCCUCGGGGUCCGAGUUGUAAUUUGCAGAGGAUGCUUCGGGUGCGGCCCCCGUCUAAGUGCCCUGGAACGGGCCGUCAUAGAGGGUGAGAAUCCCGUCUGGGACGGGGUGUCCGUGCCCGUGUGAAGCUCCUUCGACGAGUCGAGUUGUUUGGGAAUGCAGCUCUAAAUGGGUGGUAAAUUUCAUCUAAAGCUAAAUACUGGCCGGAGACCGAUAGCGCACAAGUAGAGUGAUCGAAAGAUGAAAAGCACUUUGAAAAGAGAGUUAAAUAGCACGUGAAAUUGUUGAAAGGGAAGCGCUUGCGACCAGACUCGCCCGCGGGGUUCAGCCGGCAUUCGUGCCGGUGUACUUCCCCGUGGGCGGGCCAGCGUCGGUUUGGGCGGCCGGUCAAAGGCCCCCGGAAUGUAGUGCCCUUCGGGGCACCUUAUAGCCGGGGGUGCAAUGCGGCCAGCCUGGACCGAGGAACGCGCUUCGGCACGGACGCUGGCAUAAUGGUUGCAAACGACCCGUCUUGAAACACGGACCAAGGAGUCUAACAUCUACGCGAGUGUUCGGGUGUCAAACCCGUGCGCGCAGUGAAAGCGAACGGAGGUGGGAGCCCCCUGAGGGGCGCACCAUCGACCGAUCCUGAUGUCUUCGGAUGGAUUUGAGUAAGAGCGUAAAUGUGGGGACCCGAAAGAUGGUGAACUAUGCCUGAAUAGGGCGAAGCCAGAGGAAACUCUGGUGGAGGCUCGCAGCGGUUCU
rnacentral:rRNA from 1 species